CUUGAACCUGCCAUGGGAAUCGGGCUCCUCUAUGCCUUUUGCUUCCUGGGAGUAGGCCUCAUGGAUGCACAGGUAACCCAAACUCCAAGAUAUCUGGUCAAAAGGAGGGGAGAGAAAGUCAUGAUAGAGUGUAUACAGAACAUGGACCAUGAGAGAAUGUUCUGGUACCGACAAGACCCAGCUCUGGGGCUGCAGCUGCUCCAUUUCUCAAUCGGUGUUGGCAUGGUUGAGGAAGGACAUGUGCCCCAUGGGUACAACGUCUCUAGAAAGAAGAAGGAGAGCUUCCCUCUGACCCUGGAGUCUGCCACCACCAACCAGACGUCUAUGUACCUCUGCGCCAGCAGUGAAUCCACAGCGCGGCACGGCCACAUCCUCUCUGCACAAAAAGGGCAGAUGCAGGAAGCGGGGUGGGGGGACCCUGAGUCGGGGCCCGAGUUAUGCUGCUCCUACGGCACGUGUGUGCCCAUUGGAAGAAAGGCAGACAGUAGGGAGGGACCAAGCCCACAGCCACACUUCCUGGCCAGGGCAGCACAGGCUAGUUUUUAAGCCCCCGUCACCACCCUUUUCCAAGUCAGGGGCC